rnacentral:misc_RNA from 1 species
GAAAUGCGAUAAGUAAUGUGAAUUGCAGAAUUCCGUGAAUCAUCAAAUCUUUGAACGCACAUUGCGCCCUCUGGCAUUCCGGGGGGCAUGCCUGUCCGAGCGUCAUUACGCACCCUCAAGCCCGGCUUGUGUGAUGGGCCCCGGCGUCUCGUUCGCGAGACGGGCCCGAAAGGCAGCGGCGGCGUCGACCCGAUGAGCCCGAGCGUAUGGGGACUUCUGUCACACGUUCGCGGUGCGGACCGGCGCCUGCUUGACUUUUCUGAUUAUCCAGGUUGACCUCGGAUCAGGUAGGGAUACCCGCUGAACUUAAGC